ACAUUUAACACAUCCUCAAAAUAAAAGGAGGGAAAACGACAGCGAGACAGCCAACAAUGUUUAAAAUGGAGGCGUUGUCAAGCCUACCUGCAGUAAGAGGGGUUCUCGGGACGCACGUACACGUGUUGGUCAUAAUGAAUCUUCAUCGCUGGAAAAACUAAAGGACGAACUUGCAGCAGUACCUAGGAGCUAACGGGAGCUGACCCGCCAUUCAAAACCCAACAGGAUUCUGGGAACAGACGCUUUCUGCGUUACCCGGCACCGUCAAUCUCUCUUACCUGUCGCAUGUGUCACAUCAGAGCGAGAAAAAGAGAGAGGGUCAGGAAGAAAGUGACACUGGAGAGACAACACGAGAUGGGAAGGUGACCUCACUUCUGCUGUGCUCUGGUUCCCAUUGCUGUCCAACAGGGAAAGAUAAAUGUAAGAUCACUAUUACACAAACACACACCCAUACAUUUCAUGAAUGUAAUGCAGGCAGAUUUCCAUAAAUAGACCCAACAAGCCCACACAGAAACCUCUUUGUGUCAUGUUUGUGGACUGUAAAUCACAGAAGAAUGAGGCAUCAGUGAAACAAAUAGCGACUUUAUGAGAUAAAGUUAAGUAAGUUGAAUUUGAUUGGAGUGUCUGUCGUAAUAUUGGCUCUGGGCAUUAAUGUUUAAUGGCAGCAUUAAUAUUAACAAGUGUACAAGCACAAAUGAGCAAAGCAGCAGGUCACAGGGUUUAUUAGCACCGU